rnacentral:rRNA from 1 species
UACGGGGGGGGCAAGCGUUGUUCGGAAUUACUGGGCGUAAAGGGCUCGUAGGCGGCCAACUAAGUCAGACGUGAAAUCCCUCGGCUUAACCGGGGAACUGCAUCUGAUACUGGAUGGCUUGAGUUCGGGAGAGGGAUGCGGAAUUCCAGGUGUAGCGGUGAAAUGCGUAGAUAUCGGAAGGAACAUCAGUGGCGAAAGCGACUUCCUGGACCAGUACCGACGUUCAGGCACGAAAGCGUGGGGAGCAAACAGG